rfam:Microgenomates (Daviesbacteria) bacterium GW2011_GWA2_42_7 TV41_C0006, whole genome shotgun sequence.
GCCGGGAUGCUGAAAUGGUAGACAGGCAUGCUUGAGGUGUAUGUGCCAGCAAUGGCGUGGAGGUUCGAGUCCUCUUCCCGGCA